UAAGCAUAUCAAUAAGCGGAGGAAAAGAAACUAACAAGGAUUCCCCUAGUAACUGCGAGUGAAGCGGGAAAAGCUCAAAUUUAAAAUCUGUCAGCUUUGGCUGUCCGAGUUGUAAUCUAGAGAAGCGUUAUCCGCGCUGGACCGUGUACAAGUCUCCUGGAAUGGAGCGUCAUAGAGGGUGAGAAUCCCGUCUUUGACACGGACUGCCAGGGCUUUGUGAUGCGCUCUCAAAGAGUCGAGUUGUUUGGGAAUGCAGCUCAAAAUGGGUGGUAAAUUCCAUCUAAAGCUAAAUAUUGGCGAGAGACCGAUAGCGAACAAGUACCGUGAGGGAAAGAUGAAAAGAACUUUGGAAAGAGAGUUAAACAGUACGUGAAAUUGCUGAAAGGGAAACGCUUGAAGUCAGUCGCGUUGUCCAGGGAUCAACCUUGCUUUUGCUUGGUGUACUUUCUGGUUGACGGGUCAGCAUCAAUUUUGACUAUUGGAAAAAGGUCAGGGGAAUGUGGCAUCUUCGGAUGUGUUAUAGCCCUUGGUUGUAUACAAUGGUUGGGAUUGAGGAACUCAGCACGCCGCAAGGCCGGGUUUUUAACCACGUACGUGCUUAGGAUGCUGGCAUAAUGGCUUUAAUCGACCCGUCUUGAAACACGGACCAAGGAGUCUAACAUGCCUGCGAGUGUUUGGGUGGAAAACCCGAGCGCGUAAUGAAAGUGAAAGUUGAGAUCCCUGUCGUGGGGAGCAUCGACGCCCGGACCAGACCUUUUGUGACGGUUCCGCGGUAGAGCAUGUAUGUUGGGACCCGAAAGAUGGUGAACUAUGCCUGAAUAGGGUGAAGCCAGAGGAAACUCUGGUGGAGGCUCGUAGCGAUUCUGACGUGCAAAUCGAUCGUCAAAUUUGGGUAUAGGGGCGAAAGACUAAUCGAACCAUCUAGUAAGCUGGUUCCUGCCGA
rnacentral:rRNA from 1 species